rnacentral:rRNA from 1 species
UUGUGAGGUUAAGCGACUAAGCGUACACGGUGGAUGCCCUGGCAGUCAGAGGCGAUGAAGGACGUGCUAAUCUGCGAUAAGCGUCGGUGAGGUGAUAUGAACCGUUAUAACCGGCGAUUUCCGAAUGGGGAAACCCAGUGUGUUUCGACACACUAUCAUUAACUGAAUCCAUAGGUUAAUGAGGCGAACCGGGGGAACUGAAACAUCUAAGUACCCCGAGGAAAAGAAAUCAACCGAGAUUCCCCCAGUAGCGGCGAGCGAACGGGGAGGAGCCCAGAGCCUGAAUCAGUGUGUGUGUUAGUGGAAGCGUCUGGAAAGGCGCGCGAUACAGGGUGACAGCCCCGUACACAAAAAUGCACAUAUUGUGAGCUCGAUGAGUAGGGCGGGACACGUGGUAUCCUGUCUGAAUAUGGGGGGACCAUCCUCCAAGGCUAAAUACUCCUGACUGACCGAUAGUGAACCAGUACCGUGAGGGAAAGGCGAAAAGAACCCCGGCGAGGGGAGUGAAAAAGAACCUGAAACCGUGUACGUACAAGCAGUGGGAGCCUCUUAAUGGGGUGACUGCGUACCUUUUGUAUAAUGGGUCAGCGACUUAUAUUCUGUAGCAAGGUUAACCGAAUAGGGGAGCCGAAGGGAAACCGAGUCUUAACUGGGCGUUAAGUUGCAGGGUAUAGACCCGAAACCCGGUGAUCUAGCCAUGGGCAGGUUGAAGGUUGGGUAACACUAACUGGAGGACCGAACCGACUAAUGUUGAAAAAUUAGCGGAUGACUUGUGGCUGGGGGUGAAAGGCCAAUCAAACCGGGAGAUAGCUGGUUCUCCCCGAAAGCUAUUUAGGUAGCGCCUCGUGAAUUCAUCUCCGGGGGUAGAGCACUGUUUCGGCAAGGGGGUCAUCCCGACUUACCAACCCGAUGCAAACUGCGAAUACCGGAGAAUGUUAUCACGGGAGACACACGGCGGGUGCUAACGUCCGUCGUGAAGAGGGAAACAACCCAGACCGCCAGCUAAGGUCCCAAAGUCAUGGUUAAGUGGGAAACGAUGUGGGAAGGCCCAGACAGCCAGGAUGUUGGCUUAGAAGCAGCCAUCAUUUAAAGAAAGCGUAAUAGCUCACUGGUCGAGUCGGCCUGCGCGGAAGAUGUAACGGGGCUAAACCAUGCACCGAAGCUGCGGCAGCGACACUAUGUGUUGUUGGGUAGGGGAGCGUUCUGUAAGCCUGUGAAGGUGUGCUGUGAGGCAUGCUGGAGGUAUCAGAAGUGCGAAUGCUGACAUAAGUAACGAUAAAGCGGGUGAAAAGCCCGCUCGCCGGAAGACCAAGGGUUCCUGUCCAACGUUAAUCGGGGCAGGGUGAGUCGACCCCUAAGGCGAGGCCGAAAGGCGUAGUCGAUGGGAAACAGGUUAAUAUUCCUGUACUUGGUGUUACUGCGAAGGGGGGACGGAGAAGGCUAUGUUGGCCGGGCGACGGUUGUCCCGGUUUAAGCGUGUAGGCUGGUUUUCCAGGCAAAUCCGGAAAACCAAGGCUGAGGCGUGAUGACGAGGCACUACGGUGCUGAAGCGACAAAUGCCCUGCUUCCAGGAAAAGCCUCUAAGCAUCAGGUAACAUCAAAUCGUACCCCAAACCGACACAGGUGGUCAGGUAGAGAAUACCAAGGCGCUUGAGAGAACUCGGGUGAAGGAACUAGGCAAAAUGGUGCCGUAACUUCGGGAGAAGGCACGCUGAUAUGUAGGUGAAGCGACUUGCUCGUGGAGCUGAAAUCAGUCGAAGAUACCAGCUGGCUGCAACUGUUUAUUAAAAACACAGCACUGUGCAAACACGAAAGUGGACGUAUACGGUGUGACGCCUGCCCGGUGCCGGAAGGUUAAUUGAUGGGGUUAGCGGUAACGCGAAGCUCUUGAUCGAAGCCCCGGUAAACGGCGGCCGUAACUAUAACGGUCCUAAGGUAGCGAAAUUCCUUGUCGGGUAAGUUCCGACCUGCACGAAUGGCGUAAUGAUGGCCAGGCUGUCUCCACCCGAGACUCAGUGAAAUUGAACUCGCUGUGAAGAUGCAGUGUACCCGCGGCAAGACGGAAAGACCCCGUGAACCUUUACUAUAGCUUGACACUGAACAUUGAGCCUUGAUGUGUAGGAUAGGUGGGAGGCUUUGAAGUGUGGACGCCAGUCUGCAUGGAGCCGACCUUGAAAUACCACCCUU